AUGAGAUUUUUGCUCCUUUUACUUUUCGCUGUAGCAGCUUUGGAAGGUGUCUGGUCCCAGGUACAGCUGGUGGAGUCCGGAGGGGAUGUGAAAAAGCCCGGAGACUCUCUCCGCCUUUCCUGCAAAGCCUCCGGGUUCACCUUCAGCAGCUACUACAUGGAUUGGGUCCGACAGGCUCCUGGCAAGGGUCUGGAGUGGGUGGCUGAGAUUAGACCUGAUGCAUCCAGCCAGUGGUAUUCCCCGGCUGUUCAAGGGCGAUUCACCAUCUCCAGGGACAAUCCCAACAACCUGCUGUAUCUGCAAAUGACCGGCCUGAAACCCGAGGACACCGCCCGGUAUUACUGUGCUAGACACACAAUGACACUAACUCUGUCGAUGCUCAUACAAAAACCAGAGCUGUGGAACUUCCCGCGCCUGCCGCAUGGGGGCAGCAACGACACAAGCAAAACUCUCCUGCCUUGGGUGCAAGAAGGGGAAGGGGUGUCAGGACUGAAACCUCUGACAUCGCGGAUAAACUCUUUCAUGUCCUGA